AUUGUUAACUAUGACGCCGUGCUGCAGUUGGGUGUUGCAUCGUUGAUGUCGACCACGAGAGAAAAUCAUACUGCAACAUACUCUGCUCCAUCUUAAAACAUGGUUGACUAUGGGUCGUGCUGCUGUUGGGUGUUGUAUCGUUGAUGGCUGGGGCGAUCACGGGGUACCGAUGUAUUUGAGUGUGGUGGUACCAAACCGCAACGCCGCCGCUUUACUACACAACGAAGUCAACAUACGGAACAUGUACUUCUCGAGGCCCCUAAAUACUACACCACCAAGGCUCUAACUACUACACCGAGGAUCUAACUUGUUACAUCACCGAAACGCCCAAAUACUGCACUACAACCUACGUUGCCCCAGCUUACACCACGAAGGGAGCCGAGUACUACACCACGAAGGGAGCCGAGUACUACACCACGAAGGGAGCCGAGUACUACACCACGAAGGGAGCCGAGUACUACACCACGAAGGGAGCCGAGUACUACACCACGAAGGGAGCCGAGUACUACACCACGAAGGGAGCCGAGUACUACACCACGAAGGGAGCCGAGUACUACACCACGAAGGGAGCCGAGUACUACACCACGAAGGGAGCCGAGUACUACACCACUACUUACGCUACUACCACUUACUACACCGAAGCACCUAAGUAUUACUCUGCCCCGAGUUAUUACAACACUAAGGCAGCCGCAACUUACUACAUGGAGCUUCCUUAAUGUCAGAGCCGACUAUUUGAGUUUAUUAUUAUUUGUCGGUGGUCUUCAUGAUCAUUGGUCACUGGGAGUUAAUUGUUGAUCUUAAAUGAGUAAAUAAAAAUAUUAAUGCGGGUAA